rnacentral:lncRNA from 1 species
AUGUGAUAAAAAAUCAGGUUAAUUUACAUAAACUUUAGCUUUGAUUUUCUCGGUUUAGACAAAGUUUAUUUUAAAAAUUACUUCGCCAAUGAACUCGUAUAAAAUGAGUCGUUUUUUAAGCUAUUUAAAGCACUUGUAGUCGUGUUUUAUCACACAUAAAACACUCCGCUACGCGUCGUGUUUUAUAUGUGAUAAAACACUCCUA